rnacentral:tRNA from 1 species
AUAACUAAUCAAAGGUUUUUAUUUAUAUUAAUUAGAUAUUUUAUUUUACUUUUAUUUUAAUGUUUAUUUA